AUUGAACGCUGGCGGCAGGCUUAACACAUGCAAGUCGAGCGAGCGGCGGACGGGUGAGGAAUGCUUAGGAAUCGGCCUAUUAGUGGGGGACAACAUCUCGAAACGGUAGCUAAUACCGCAUACCAUCAGAAGUGCCCAGAUGGGAUUAGCUAGUAGGUGGGGUAACGGCACACCUAGGCGACGAUCCCUAGCUGGUCUGAGAGGAGGACCAGCCACACUGGAACUGGACCACGGUCCGGACUCCUACGGUAGGCAGCAGUGGGGAAUAUUGCAAAAGGGGCGCAAGCCUGAUGCAGCCAUGCCGCGUGUGUGAAGAAGGCCUUCGGGUUGUAAAGCACUUUCAGCGGGGAGGCGUUACCCGCAGAAGAAGCACCGGCUAACUCCGUGCCAGCAGCCGCGGUAAUUC
rnacentral:rRNA from 1 species